AUGAGCACGAAGAGCGGCACUCUGCCUUUGCUCCGAAGCAGAGUUGCCACGUUCGGCGCUUCAAUCGAAACGGCUCCGCCUUUGCCCCGAAGCAGAGUAGCCUCGGUUGCUGAAUUCUCUCCAAACAAAGAGAAUAGGAGGAGGACGAAUAGCUGCAGCACACAAGCGGCCACUUCGCCGACGGCUGUGCCUCCGCACCAGAGCAAAGUAGCCAUAUGUGGUAGCGGGGCUACAAUCCAAGAGAAGACGAGGUCGAAGAGCUGCAGCACACAAGCGGCCGCAUCGUCCACAGCUCCGCCUUUCCACCAGAGCAGAGUACACAUGUCUGUCAGCGGGGUUCCAAACAAACAGAAGAGGAGGACGAAGAGCCACAGCACACAAGCGGACGCAUCGUCCAUGGAUCCGCCAUUGCACCAGAGCAGAGUGCCCAUGUCUGUCAGCGGGGUUUCAGUGGAAGAGAAGAGGAGGACAAAGAGCUUGAUGCCUAAGCCUCCACGCCGGAGCAAAGUAGCCUUGACUACCAAUGGCCGUCCUGUGGAUGGUGUACGACGUGCCGACGUCAUUGAAUACUACAAGCAUAGCGAUGGAUCCAUCUACAGACAAACUGAUUUCUUGUCCAAACUUUAUCGUGUCCAUGAUACCAACGAGACUGAGCUGGAGCCAAUGAUGAGGUCGGAGCCAUCAGACGGUUGCUCACUGAACUGGAGGCCCUGUGAAAGACAUGCCGAUUGCACCAUGAUGCAGAUAUUUUCACUGAAGCUGGCGUAUCCUCCUGCUGGAGACCAAGUUAAGGUGUAUGGAUUCAUGGCUGUCCGGGACACUCGGGACCAUCUGCGUAACUACAUCUUCAACCGCACCAGAGAUGACCCUUUCAUCGUGGAACAAGAGGACGGAUUUAUACAGUUGUCUGGACCCAAGAGAGGCAUCUGGUGGUAUGACAAGCAGCUGGUUGAGUUCGACAUGAGGAUCAAGAGAGGGGAAAAUGAAGCGGACGAUCUGCAGCUCAUCGACGGCGCCGUCUGGUUCUACGACGGUUGCUCGCCGCAUGCUAGAGUGCUCACGCAACGCAUCGACGGUGACUAUGGCUCGGUGGACAUAAGCUAUGCGCUCCUGCAAAUGGCGAUGGAGGCCACGGUGCAGAUUGCUGUGUCGGAGCUGGACAGAGACAUAGGCCUGCUUGUAAGGGCGUUUUACGUCAGUGAUCUCUUGCACCAGGGGAUGUAG
rnacentral:rRNA from 1 species